rnacentral:tRNA from 1 species
UGGGACGUCGCCAAGUGGUAAGGCAGCGGUUUUUGGUACCGCCAUCUCGGAGGUUCGAAUCCUUCCGUCCCAGCCA